UUGGUGGCCUCUAAACAGAGAAACUGGGUGGCUGGGGGCAGGGAAGGGAGAAAGGAUUUUUCAUUAUGUAUCCUUUUAUGUUUUGAAUUUUGAACCGAUUGAAAAUUUAAAAUAAUAUGAAGACAAAAAUUCAAAUGAACAAUUAAAAUAAGUUAUGAGCAUAUUUAUGACCAUAUUUAGAAAGCAGGAAAAAACAUAUUCAAGUAUGAAAAAGUGGAAGCAGGCUCUGAGUUACGCAGCAUAAAUUGACAUGUGUAUACCACUGAAAACAGAGCUAAGAUAAAAGGAUAGAUAAUUGUAAUAAAAUCAACACACAGGUUAAAAAUGUUUUCGUUAAGCAGUAUACAUUUAUACGUAUAUACUAGUGAAAACAGCUAAGAUAUAGGGAUGGAUAACUAACUGUAAUAAAGACAACCUUAACAUAUGGGUUAAAAAUGGUUUUAUAGAAUGUGUAUGAAUAUAUAAAUAAGCUAUCAUAUCAAAGACAACCUUAACAUACGGGUUAAAAAUGAUUUUAUAGAAUGUGUAUGAAUAUAUAAAUAAGCUAUCGUAUGUUAAAUAGCAAUUCAAGGCACUAGAAAGAGAAGAUGGACUACAUUUUUCAAAGCAAUUGGCUAUUAGGCAAAAAAAUAAAAAUUAUAUUUCACCCUCCAUCCUAAUGUUACAUCUCUCCUAAGGAACUAUUUAGUAAAUGUACGGAUGAAACUAAAUUCUGUGUAUACAAGUGUGAAUUGUGUAUUUUCUUAUAUUUUGUAUUUUCUUAGUCAGUAUUUUCAACUUGAGGAUAAGAGGAAAAAUGAAGGCUUUCUUAGCACAAAGUUAUAAUUUUUAGCCAAACAUGAGUAUAUAAAAUAAUCCACAAUUCUCAGAGAUAACAUUAAACUAUGUUUAACUGUAUAAGGUAACCGAUUUCUCACUCAAAUUUUUUAAUAAAUGACUUCUGCAUUAAAGUUGUUCAACAGUAAAAGAUGCUUUGACAUGCUUUUAAUUGAUUCGUUUUACACUCAGAGAGAGGAUAACAGUGAUUUGUGAAAGGAUUUUUUUUUCUGUCUUGCACACAUCUCUCAUUUGUCCAUCUUAAUUCAAUUAAAGGAAAUAAGGACAGUUUGACCGAUGAAUGAACCAUAUUUUAACCAAGGACCCUUCUAUUUAAACUGGAGUGUAUCAACCACUGUAAUUGUCAGUUGGUUACUUCCGAUCUCUAACUUUUGUUUUGAGAGGUCACGGUAUGGUCAUGGAAGACAAUAUAGUAGAAUAUGGGUAAGUAUUUAAACCAUUAGACUAGUAGCCAUUUGAAGAAAGAAAAAUUUUAAUUAUUACUACUGU
rnacentral:lncRNA from 1 species